CCUACGGGAGGCAGCAGUGAGGAAUAUUGGUCAAUGGACGAGAGUCUGAACCAGCCAAGUAGCGUGAAGGAUGACUGCCCUAUGGGUUGUAAACUUCUUUUAUAUGGGAAUAAAACGUUCCACGUGUGGGAUUUUGUAUGUACCAUAUGAAUAAGGAUCGGCUAACUCCGUGCCAGCAGCCGCGGUAAUACGGAGGAUCCGAGCGUUAUCCGGAUUUAUUGGGUUUAAAGGGAGCGUAGGUGGAUUGUUAAGUCAGUUGUGAAAGUUUGCGGCUGAACCGUAAAAUUGCAGUUGAAACUGGCAGUCUUGAGUACAGUAGAGGUGGGCGGAAUUCGUGGUGUAGCGGUGAAAUGCUUAGAUAUCACGAAGAACUCCGAUUGCGAAGGCAGUUCACUGGACUGCAACUGACACUGAGGCUCGAAAGUGUGGGUAUCAAACAGGAUUAGAUACCCGUGUAGUC
rnacentral:rRNA from 1 species